CAGAAUCUAGAUGUGUUGAUGUGAGUAGUGACUGCAGUACCUUGGCUAGAAAUGUCUUGUAUCAGAUGCAGAGAACUCAGAUGUUUGAAGCCUGUCAUUUCUCCUGCCAGUUUUGCACACCUCAGCCACAGGUUGGAGGACCAGUAAAUGCUUCAGGAAGUAAUCAUUGUGAAGACAGAAAUAACUUGUAAAGAUGGGAACUAUGCUGAACGAUGCUCCAAAUUAGAUGACUGCUGAGGAACGUUCCAAUUUUGUGAAGAUUCUCGACUAUUCCGGAAUGGCUGAACCAGCAACAGUAGAGGCGCCAUUUUGUGGAGCCACAGUUAUCGAUCCAUACUAUCUGGUGAUGGCCACUAUCUUAGAUCCAACAUGACU